AGAGUUUGAUCCUGGCUCAGAUUGAACGCUGGCGGCAGGCCUAACACAUGCAAGUCGAGCGGUAGAGAGGUGCUUGCUCCUUAUGAGAGCGGCGGACGGGUGAGUAAUGUCUGGGAAGCUGCCCGAUGGGGGGGGAUAACUACCGGAAACGGCAGCUAAUACCGCAUACGUCCUACGAGAGAAAAGAGGGGGACCUUCGGGCCUCUUGCCAUCGGAUGUGCCCAGAUGGGAUUAGCUAGUAGGUGGGGUAACGGCUCACCGAGGCGACGAUCCCUAUCUGGUCUGAGAGGAUGACCAGCCACACUGGAACUGAGACACGGUCCAGACUCCUACGGGAGGCAGCAGUGGGGAAUAUUGCACAAUGGGCGCAAGCCUGAUGCAGCCAUGCCGCGUGUAUGAAGAAGGCCUCGGGUUGUAAAGUACUUUCAGCGAGGAGGAAGGUAUUAGGUUAAUACCUGGCGAUUUUGACGUUACUCGCAGAAUAAGCACCGGCUAACUCCGUGCCAGCAGCCGCGGUAAUACAGAGGGUGCAAGCGUUAAUCGGAAUUACUGGGCGUAAAGCGCACGCAGGCGGUCUGUGAAGUCGGAUGUGAAAUCCCCGGGCUCAACCUGGGAACUGCAUUCUAAACUGGCAGGCUAGAGUCUUGUAGAGGGGGGUAGAAUUCCACGUGUAGCGGUGAAAUGCGUAGAGAUCUGAAGGAAUACCGGUGGCGAAGGCGGCCCCCUGGACUGAGACUGACACUCAGGUGCGAAAGCGUGGGGAGCAAACAGGAUUAGAUACCCUGGU
rnacentral:rRNA from 1 species